AGAGUUUGAUCCUGGCUCAGGACGAACGCUGGCGGCGUGCUUAACACAUGCAAGUCGAACGGAAAGGCCUAAGCUUGCUUGGGUACUCGAGUGGCGAACGGGUGAGUAACACGUGAGUGAUCUGCCCUCAACUUCGGGAUAAGCCUGGGAAACUGGGUCUAAUACUGGAUAGGACCAUCCUUUAGUGUGUGAUGGUGGAAAGUUUUUUCGGUUGGGGAUGAGCUCGCGGCCUAUCAGCUUGUUGGUGGGGUAAUGGCCUACCAAGGCGUCGACGGGUAGCCGGCCUGAGAGGGUGUACGGCCACAUUGGGACUGAGACACGGCCCAGACUCCUACGGGAGGCAGCAGUGGGGAAUAUUGCACAAUGGGCGGAAGCCUGAUGCAGCGACGCCGCGUGAGGGAUGACGGCCUUCGGGUUGUAAACCUCUUUCGACAGGGACGAAGCUUUUGUGACGGUACCUGUAUAAGAAGCACCGGCUAACUACGUGCCAGCAGCCGCGGUAAUACGUAGGGUGCGAGCGUUGUCCGGAAUUACUGGGCGUAAAGAGCUCGUAGGUGGUUUGUCGCGUCGUCUGUGAAAUUCCGGGGCUUAACUCCGGGCGUGCAGGCGAUACGGGCAUAACUUGAGUGCUGUAGGGGAGACUGGAAUUCCUGGUGUAGCGGUGAAAUGCGCAGAUAUCAGGAGGAACACCGAUGGCGAAGGCAGGUCUCUGGGCAGUAACUGACGCUGAGGAGCGAAAGCAUGGGGAGCGAACAGGAUUAGAUACCCUGGUAGUCCAUGCCGUAAA
rnacentral:rRNA from 1 species